GAGUGAAGCGGCUACAGCUCAAAUUUGAAAUCUGGGUCCGAGUUGUAAUUUGCAGAGGAUGCUUUGGCAUUGGCCGGUCUAAGUUCCUUGGAACAGGACAUCGCAGAGGGUGAGAAUCCCGUACGGGCGCCUGCCUGCCGUGUAAAGCUCCUUCGACGAGUCGAGUUGUUUGGGAAUGCAGCUCUAAAUGGGAGGUAAAUUUCUCCUAAAGCUAAAUACCGGCCAGAGACCGAUAGCGCACAAGUAGAGUGAUCGAAAGAUGAAAAGUACUUUGGAAAGAGAGUCAAAUAGCACGUGAAAUUGUUGAAAGGGAAGCGCUUGCAGCCAGACUUGCCCGCAGGCUCACCCAGGCUCUCGCCUGGGGCACUCUUGCGGCAGGCCAGCAUCAGUUUGGGCGGUCGGAUAAGGCUCCUGUCAUGUACCACCGGUGGCCUUAUAGGGGGGGCGAUGCGCCAGCCCGGACUGAGGUCCGCGCAUCUGCUAGGAUGCUGGCGUAAUGGCUGUAAGCGGCCCGUCUUGAAACACGGACCAAGGAGUCUAACAUCUAUGCGAGUGUUUGGGUGUCAAGCCCGGGCGCGCAAUGAAAGUGAACGGAGGUGGGAACGGUGCACCAUCGACCGAUCCUGAUGUCUUCGGAUGGAUUUGAGUAAGAGCAUAGCUGUUGGGACCCGAAAGAUGGUGAACUAUGCUUGAAUAGGGUGAAGCCAGAGGAAACUCUG
rnacentral:rRNA from 1 species